AACCACGCAAGGAAAAGGCAAAACACAAGUCACGCGCCUCUUCUCUUCAUGGUCUCUAUCAACCAGAACAACACAAGGAGCACCAUGGCUAUCGCUUUCUUGGUCCUUAUAAUGCUUUCUGGUUUUACACUGCCAUCUUGUCAUGCACGUGUUGUUGUUCCGUAUUGUGUGGAUAUGCCCCGAAGAUGCUCUAUCGCUGAUUGCUUGGACGAAUGCAACAGGAUAGAGCGACAUUUGCAGGCCGUGUUUUGCAACGACGUUGGCCAGUGAUGUUGCUACACUGACUCUACCGUAUGACCGGACAUAGGCGUUUCGGUUACUUGUGCGAUGUAGUCCGGAUGAAUAAGCUCCUUGCAUGUAAUGCGCCGGACUAUGAGUCGCAAACAUAAUAAGAUGUUCCUCCAGAA